rnacentral:rRNA from 1 species
AGAUAUGAUCCAGAGUACCACGGGACACGUGAAACCCUGUGGGAAGCAGGAGGGACCACCCUCCAAGGCUAAAUACUACCUAGUGACCGAUAGCGUAUAGUACCGUGAGGGAAAGGGGAAAAGAACCCCGGGAGGGGAGUGAAAUAGAACCUGAAACCCUGCACUUACAAGCUGUGGAAGCACAUUUCUUGUGUGACCGCGUACUUUUUGUAGAACGGGCCAACGAGUUACGUUAAGUAGCAAG